AGCCUGGUAAGGCCGCGGGGCUCAUAACCCAUUCACACGUGAGACACCCCGAGGUCCCUGGUUCAAAUCCAGGCCCCGCUACCA
rnacentral:tRNA from 2 species